rnacentral:rRNA from 1 species
GCCCAAAUUCCUACGGGAGGCAGCAUUAGGGAAUCUUCCCCAAUGGACGAAAGUCUGACGGAGCAACGCCGCGUGAGUGAUGAAGGUUUUCGGAUCGUAAAAUUCUGUUGUUAGGGAAAAACAAGUAUCGUCCGAAUAGGGCGGUACCUUGACGGUACCUAACCAAAAAGCCCCGGCUAACUACGUGCCACCAGCGGCGGUAAUACGUAGGUGGCAAGCGUUGUCCGGAAUUAUUGGGCGUAAAGCGGGCGCAGGCGGUUUCUUAAGUCUGAGGUGAAAGCCCAGGGCUCAACCGGGGAGGGUCAUUGAAAACUGGAAAACUUGAUUGCAAAAAAAAAAGAGCGGAAUUCCCCGUGUAGCGUUGAAUGGCGUAAAGAUGUGAAGGAACACCAGUGGCGAAGGCGGUUUUUUGGUCUGUAAUUGACGUUGAGGCGCGAAAGCUUGGGGAGCAACAGGAUUAGAUACCCUGGUAGUCACGGCGAAAACUAGAAGUGCUAAUUGUUAAAGGUUUUCUGCCCUUUAGUGCUGCAGCUUAACGCAUUAAGCACUCUGCCUGGGGAGUACGGCCGCAAGGCUGAAACUCAAAAGAAUUAGACGGGG